rnacentral:tRNA from 1 species
GCCGAAGUGGCGGAAUUGGCAGACGCGCUGCGUUCAGGGCGCAGUGACCCCUGCGGUCAUGUGGGUUCGACUCCCACCUUCGGCACUA